GAUGAACGUUGGCGGCGUGCCUAACACAUGCAAGUCGAACGCUAGUAGCAAUAUUAGAGUGGCGCACGGGUGAGUAACACGUAGCUUAUCUACCUCCCAGCGCGGGAUAACGGUUCGAAAGAACUGCUAAUACCGCAUAAGCUCACGAGCUAUAGAGGCUGGUGAGAAAAGGCUUAGGUCACUGGGAGCGGGGGCUGCGGCCCAUCAGCUAGUUGGUGAGGAACGGCUUACCAAGGCGACGACGGGUAGGGGACCUGAGAGGGUGACCCCCCACACUGGGAC
rnacentral:rRNA from 1 species